CAUCAGGAAGCUAAAAGGGAAUAGCAUUAGCCUUUUAAGCUAAAAAUUGGUGACUCCCGCUCACCCCUGGUGG
rnacentral:tRNA from 1 species